AGUGAACGCUGGCGGUAGGCCUAACACAUGCAAGUCGAACGGCAGCACAGUAAGAGCUUGCUCUUACAGGUGGCGAGUGGCGGACGGGUGAGGAAUACAUCGGAAUCUACUUUUUCGUGGGGGAUAACGUAGGGAAACUUACGCUAAUACCGCAUACGACCUACGGGUGAAAGCAGGGGAUCUUCGGACCUUGCGCGAUUGAAUGAGCCGAUGUCGGAUUAGCUAGUUGGCGGGGUAAAGGCCCACCAAGGCGACGAUCCGUAGCUGGUCUGAGAGGAUGAUCGGCCACACUGGAACUGAGACACGGUCCAGACUCCUACGGGAGGCAGCAGUGGGGAAUAUUGGACAAUGGGCGCAAGCCUGAUCCAGCCAUACCGCGUGGGUGAAGAAGGCCUUCGGGUUGUAAAGCCCUUUUGUUGGGAAAGAAAAGCAGCAGGUUAAUACCCCGCUGUUCUGACGGUACCCAAAGAAUAAGCACCGGCUAACUUCGUG
rnacentral:rRNA from 1 species